rnacentral:rRNA from 1 species
CAAACUAGGGGUGUGAUAGGAGGGUGGUAGAAUUUCAGGUGUAGCGGUGAAAUGCGUAGAGAUCUGAAGGAAUACCGAUGGCGAAGGCAGCCACCUGGGUCAACACUGACGCUCAUGUACGAAAGCGUGGGGAGCAAACAGGAUUAGAUACCAUGGUAGUCCACGCCGUAAAACGAUGUCUACUAGGAGCUGGGGUCUUCGGACAACUUUUCCAAAGCUAACGCAUUAAGUAGACCGCCUGGGGAGUACGGCCGCAAGGUUAAAACUCAAAUGAAUUGACGGGGGCCCGCACAAGCGGUGGAGCAUGUGGUUUAAUUCGAUGCAACGCGAAGAACCUUACCUACACUUGACAUACAGAGAACUUACCAGAGAUGGUUUGGUGCCUUCGGGAGCUCUGAUACAGGUGCUGCAUGGCUGUCGUCAGCUCGUGUUGUGAGAUGUUGGGUUAAGUCCCGCAACGAGCGCAACCCCUAUCCUUAGUUGCCAGCGAUUCGGUCGGGAACUCUAAGGAGACUGCCGGUGAUAAACCGGAGGAAGGUGGGGACGAGCGUCAAGUCUAUCAUGGCCCUUACGUCGUAGCGGCUACACACUUUCUAGCAAUUGCUAGGUACAGAUGAGCGAGCGAGCGUAGCGAUGGUGAGCUAAUCGCUUGGGAACAUGCCUGUCGUAGUCCGGAUUGGAGUCUGACAACUCGACUCCAUGGAAGUCGGAAUGGCUAGUAAUCGCAAAUCAGAAUGUCUGCGGAUGAAUACGUUCCCGGGGCUUGUACACACCGCGCGUCUCGCCUUUGGAGUGGGUUGCUCCAGAAGUGGGAUUAGUCUAACGUUCGGUGAGGUAAAGGCUCACCACGGCGAGGAUCCCUAUGCUGGUUUGAGAGGAUGAUCACCCACACUGGGCUGAGACACGGCCCAGACUCCUACCGGAGGCCUCCGUGGAGAAUAUUGCACGUGGGCGCUGGCCUAAUGUGCCAUGCUGAUUGAGUCAUGACGCCUUUCGGGAUGAAGACUUCUUUCAGCCAAGAGGAAACGUAAAAGCAAAACUGGUAAUUGAGAACGUGAAGAAAAACCUACUGUCCCAACCUUUCGGAAAUCCCUGCAUUCUCCCCGGUCACAGGAUUUUCGGAAUUUUAAUCCGAAUUACCGACUGUCCCCCCCUUUUGGGGGGGUCCCCCGAAUUUAAUUUUGAAUCUUAGGCUCUGCGCUUCCAAACUCCGCGGGGGGAACCACUUAAGGAGAUAUUUUUUGAAAAAGUUAAACUAACAACCCCCACCCCCAAAAAAACCUACUAUCUCGGGGGGGGAAUACCGGGGGGAAAAGAACCCCCGUUUGGGCCCCCCCCGUUUUUUUCACUUGGAGGAGUCGGGGUUUGCCCAGAGGGGGUGGCGUUCCCCCCCCCGGAAACCCCCUCAAGAAUUCUCAGAUUUGUGGCGGGGACCCCAGAGUUUUCUACACCCCCCUAAUACAUACUAAAGUGCUGCGUGUUGGAAAGGGGGUUCCGCAGGAUAUAAAAGGCC